AUUGAACGCUGGCGGAAUGCUUUACACAUGCAAGUCGAACGGCAGCACGGACUUCGGUCUGGUGGCGAGUGGCGAACGGGUGAGUAAUGUAUCGGAACGUGCCCAGUCGUGGGGGAUAACGUAGUGAAAAUUACGCUAAUACCGCAUACGAUCUAUGGAUGAAAGCGGGGGAUCGCAAGACCUCGCGCGAUUGGAGCGGCCGAUAUCAGAUUAGGUAGUUGGUGGGGUAAAGGCCCACCAAGCCAACGAUCUGUAGCUGGUCUGAGAGGACGACAGGCCACACUGGAACUGAGACACGGUCCAGACUCCGACGGGAGGCAGCAGUGGGGAAUUUUGGACAAUGGGCGAAAGCCUGAUCCAGCCAUUCCGCGUGCAGGAUGAAGGCCCUCGGGUUGUAAACUGCUUUUGUACAGAACGAAAAGGUUUCUACUAAUACUAGGAGCUCAUGACGGUACUGUAAGAAUAAGCACCGGCUAACUACGUGCCAGCCGCCGCAGUAA
rnacentral:rRNA from 1 species